UACGUAGGGUGCAAGCGUUAAUCGGAAUUAUUGGGCGUAAAGAGCUCGUAGGCGGUCUGUUGCGUCCGCUGUGAAAACUCGGGGCUUAACCCCGAGCCUGCAGUGGAUACGGGCAGACUAGAGGUAGGUAGGGGAGAAUGGAAUUCCCGGUGUAGCGGUGAAAUGCGCAGAUAUCGGGAGGAACACCGGUGGCGAAGGCGGUUCUCUGGGCCUUACCUGACGCUGAGGAGCGAAAGCGUGGGGAGCGAACAGG
rnacentral:rRNA from 1 species